GCUUACUUGGUGAAAUUGGUAAACACGACAGACUUAAAAUCUGUUCCUUUUAGGUUAUCGGUUCAAGUCCGAUAGUAAGCA
rfam:Micromonas sp. RCC299 mitochondrion, complete genome.